ensembl:snoRNA
AGCCUCGUUCUCCAUGAGAACUGGCACUGCUGGUUGUGGUGUCUAGAAAUUCUUACUGUGGCUAAACUGAGACACAGAAAGUGUUACCUCCCAGGAAAUGUAUUGCAAUGGUGAUGAUGAGACCUGUAAUUUUU